AUUGAACGCUGGCGGCAGGCCUAACACAUGCAAGUCGAGCGGAUGAAGGGAGCUUGCUCCUGGAUUCAGCGGCGGACGGGUGAGUAAUGCCUAGGAAUCUGCCUGGUAGUGGGGGAUAACGUCCGGAAACGGGCGCUAAUACCGCAUACGUCCUGAGGCAGAAAGUGGGGGAUCUUCGGACCUCACGCUCUCAGAUGAGCCUAGGUCGGAUUAGCUAGUUGGUUGGGUAAAGGCCUACCAAGGCGACGAUCCGUAACUGGUCUGAGAGGAUGAUCAGUCACACGGGAACUGAGACACGGUCCAGACUCCUACGGGAGGCAGCAGUGGGGAAUAUUGGACAAUGGGCGAAAGCCUGAUCCAGCCAGGCCGCGUGUGUGAAGAAGGUCUUCGGAGUGUAAAGCACUUUAAGUUGGGAGGAAGGGCAGUAAGUUAAUACCUUGCUGUUUUGACGUUACCAACAGAAUAAGCACCGGCUAACUUCGUG
rnacentral:rRNA from 1 species